rnacentral:sRNA from 2 species
GGCCUGGGUACAUAUUGCCUUUCCAUGGCGCCUGUGUGCUACACGGGAUGGAACGGGAACAGGUGAGAUAAUGGAAAGUUGAUUUACUAGUAGUUAUAUUUUACUUUUUUUGGGAUGGAAAAAGGGGUGACAGUGAAAAUCUGUUGAGAAGGAGUGGUAAGGUGGAAAAUGUUCCAUUAUACAUGCUAUGGUAGUGUUGAGAGAAAAAAGGGUGCAAAAAGAGGCGGGAAGGGCCUUGUACGCAAUAUAGGGGUAGAUAGAUGGAGGGCACAGUAUGAUCCCUAGUUGUCGAUCUGCCCACGGAGAGUAACUAGUUGGAGCUCUAGGUUUCUUUUUAUUUGUGUAGAAUUGGUUGAGAGAUUGGCAAACUUUUAGUCCCUAGUCACACACAUCCUAACAUCCGGUCUGUACAAAUGAGCGGUAUAUGGAGCGAGAGAAAGCAAAAUGGUGGGGUCACCACGAUGUAGCAUUCUCCACCAAAUUGGGCGGAUUUGAUUUGACAUCGGGCUGGUCAAUCCCUGUAGUGCUGAGUCCGAUAAAGAACGUGUGAUUGCUAGAACGCCACGUGACUACAAUUACUUGAGCUGCGAGUUAGUUACAAUUAACCAUC